rnacentral:rRNA from 1 species
UGGCGGACGGGUGAGUAACGCGUGGAUAACCUGCCUUAUACAGGGGGAUAACGGAGAGAAAUUUCCGCUAAGACCGCAUAAGACCACAGCACCGCAUGGUGCAGGGGUAAAAUAUUUAUAGGUAUAAGAUGGAUCCGCGUCCGAUUAGCUAGUUGGUGAGGUAGAGGCUCACCAAGGCGACGAUCGGUAGCCGGCCUGAGAGGGUGAACGGCCACAUUGGGACUGAGACACGGCCCAA